GGUUAUGUUUCUAUACCUUGAAGAAAAUUUCUGCAUUGAGCUUAAAUCUUCUACAUGCCUAUUUCAUCAGGCAGUGUCAAAGGGAACGUGGGAAACAAGAAACUGAUGUUAUACUUCUGUCCAUGGAAAAGUGAGGAAGAUAGAAUUGUAGAUAGAGGAUGUGCUAUACCUGUAAAAGCUCCUCAAUGACAUCUUCAAGUGUUAUGAUGCCGAUUGCUUCCCCCUCUUCAGAGAGCUUGGGCAACAGGUCAUCGGCAAUAUGCAAGACCUCUGAGUUGAGGUCUUUGGACCAUUUUUUACUUCCAGAGAACUUUCGGUAUCAUUGUCAAAGUGAAGAAGCCAAGUUAAGUAGAAAUGAAAAAGGAUAUGCAACAGGAAAGCAAAUACAAACAAGAACCCUUACAAAAGGGGUCACUGUUGCACCAAUUGCUAAACCAUAUCUAGAACAAACAGCUUGAGGAAUAAUCUGCAGAAAGGAAGCAACACAUAAGAACAUGCCC